GGGGGGGGGGGGGGGGGGGGGGAGGGGGGGCGGGGCGGGCGGGGGGGCCCGGCUGGGGUGGGGUGCGCGAGUGGCGAACGGGGGAGUAACACGUGAGUAACCUGCCCUUGACUUUGGGAUAACUUCAGGAAACUGGGGCUAAUACCGGAUAGGAGCUCCUGCUGCAUGGUGGGGGUUGGAAAGUUUCGGCGGUUGGGGAUGGACUCGCGGCUUAUCAGCUUGUUGGUGGGGUAGUGGCUUACCAAGGCUUUGACGGGUAGCCGGCCUGAGAGGGUGACCGGCCACAUUGGGACUGAGAUACGGCCCAGACUCCUACGGGAGGCAGCAGUGGGGAAUAUUGCACAAUGGGCGGAAGCCUGAUGCAGCAACGCCGCGUGCGGGAUGACGGCCUUCGGGUUGUAAACCGCUUUCGCCUGUGACGAAGCGUGAGUGACGGUAAUGGGUAAAGAAGCACCGGCUAACUACGUG
rnacentral:rRNA from 1 species